GGAUUGUGUAUGUGACAAGCAUAUCGGAGGCGUGACGUAUCUCUGAAGUCGAUAUAAAAAGGGUUCGAUUAAAUCAAUUUCACGAAUUAAGAAGGGUUGCUUAGGGAUCUGUAAGAGAGCGAUAUUUACCUCGUCAUGAUGAGAGAAAUUCUUGUUUGUUUCCUUGUUCUAAUUAUUGUUGAGGUGAUAUCAGCUUUUCCAUGGAACAUGCCCUCAUGGUACGGACAGCGUGCGUAUCCAUCUGCGUAUAAUCCUUACUACCAGCGCUACCUCGCCAACGAGUUUUACGAUGAACUUUUUGAUUAAAAGGCUCGGCAUAUUGGACAGGGUUCACCUUUGAUUUGCUGGUUCCUGUCUGCUUCGCUGGUUCCCGUCUCUGUUGGUGUAAUGAUAGAUUGUUAUUGUUAUGGGCUGGUAUUAAAUUUCUCAUUUUGAUAA